CCGAACUUUAGGGUAACAUGUUACCUCAUGAGCCUAAGAAAAUGAUUCACGUUAGGGUAAACCUCGACUAAAAUUACGCUAUAUUGCAACAUCGUGUUAGGCGUUUGCUGAUUUCAAACGUCUGCGUUAGGGUAACAUUAGUGUAACCUUACCCUAACGUGAGUCAUUUCAGUGAGUCGACCAAAAUAGUGCAUGUAGUAGUGAGUUGUAUACAGCACAUAAUUUGUGUUCACUAAUCCAACGGCAAGUCUCCUCAAUGACAGUUCGCGGUAAACAAUCCAAAAAAUAAGCUCGAUCAGCUCUAUCCACAAAUCGCAAAAAGUGAACUGUUACAACACCAUAGAUAAUAAAAAUUAAAUUAAAAGGAUUGAACAGACAUACUACUCACAAGGGUCAAAAACUUCGACGGCUUCGGAAUUCGUCGUUUGUUCAUCAGAUAGAAAUUGCACCUCAUCUCAUCGAUCGACGGAUACUAUCACGGUUCAACUGAAACCUGAUUCGGAAACCAAAAGCAACAGUUAUUCCGAUGCGCAAAUAUCAAACUUCUACUAGCAAACGGAUCACACUUGCCGGAAGAGUUCUCGCCACGACUGCAACUCGCUAAAAUGAGCUCUCUACGUCCUUUGGAUUUACAUCGGUGUCUAACUUCUACAUCUCCCCUGAGGAAGAAUCCCGUCGAGAGGAGGUUUAUCUGGAGCCGACCGACUUCCUUUAUGUGAGCGAAUUUUCCUAGUCCUUGUUCCGUCUAAAAGAGAAUGACUAGUUGAAUGCGGUACGGGACCACCCGACACGACGUACGAUUUUUCCAGCGAUGAUGCUGCCCGGGAAACCAAUUUUACGUUGCACCCCGUUUGUUUUUAACUGGAGCGAAUCGCAGAAGGCAAGAUGUAAAUUCGGGCAUCACUUCGAAAGGUCAACCUUCAGAAGUAAUCGAUCAGAAAGAUGUAUUUAUUAUCUAUGUUUUGAACAAUUGCUGGCCUGGCGAUAAAAGCGGAUGUUGUCAUUGGUCAUUGUCAUACAGGAAGUAUUUCACAUAUACUUCAGAGUUAUGUAUAACGGAAGGGAGCAUCCGGAGAUCCUUCUGCAUUAGUGAGAAAGUCAUCUUGGCGGCUUUGAAGCGCCAUCGAAUGCUGAAGCUUUUCGUACCGCUUUACUCAAUAUCAUUCCGGCGGUGGUAACCUGGAAGAAAGUGAUGAAAUGCAUCAGCUGAAAACGUCGGAUUGCUGGUUACCCGUCGCAUUCUGCAAAAGCUUCGUGUGGAUACUCUGUACACUGGAUUUUUACUGGGGAAGAAUAUUUGGUCGAACUAGUCUAUGACGGACCAGGAGCGUUCCGGUGCUACUUAGAUGUUACCCUCGCCCGCACCACCACUGGAGUCCGCGUCUUUGGUGCCAUGAAGGAUGCCGACGAUGGUGGCAUCAACAUCCCGCACUCCGCCAAGCGUUUCCCAGGAUACAUCGCUGAAGUUCACCACGCUCAUAACUUCGGCCAACACGUCGCCGACUAUAUGCGCACCCUGGAGGAAGAGGGUGAGGAGACGUACAAGCGCCAAUUCAGCAAAUCAUUGGCCUCGGAAUCAAGGUUGACGAUCGGCUUUGAAGCGCCACCAAAUGCUGAAGCUUUUCGUACCGCUUCAUUCCGGCUAAGGUAAUCCGGCAGGAUAUAAGUUACCGAUGAUUCUUUGUGGAAUUGGUCGGUGGAUGAGUAACUUGGAGGAAAGUGAUGACAUGCAUCCAUAGCGUUUACAAAUUAACCAAUGUCAACUUGGGCAAUAUGCGGAAACUUCUGGAAUGAUGAUCCAGCGUCCGAUGAUGAGAAAACAAGGAAAAUUGUAUCGACGACACAGACUUAUGGAGAUACAAAAGUAGAUGAUGUUGUGAACCAAAAAAAGAUUAUAUAUGAAUAU